CAGGGAUUGCCCUAGUAACGGCGAGUGAAGCGGCAACAGCUCAAAUUUGAAAUCUGGCUCUUUCAGAGUCCGAGUUGUAAUUUGUAGAGGGUGCUUUGGCGUUGGCCCUGGCCUAAGUUCCUUGGAACAGGACGUCACAGAGGGUGAGAAUCCCGUACGUGGCCGCCGGUCUUCGCCGUGUAAAGCCCCUUCGACGAGUCGAGUUGUUUGGGAAUGCAGCUCUAAAUGGGAGGUAAAUUUCUUCUAAAGCUAAAUAUUGGCCAGAGACCGAUAGCGCACAAGUAGAGUGAUCGAAAGAUGAAAAGCACUUUGGAAAGAGAGUCAAAAAGCACGUGAAAUUGUUGAAAGGGAAGCGCUUGCAGCCAGACUUGCCCGCGGUUGUUCACCCGAGUCUCUGACCAGGGGCAUUCUUCCGCGGGCAGGCCAGCAUCAGUUUGGGCGGCCGGACAAAGACCUCUAUCACGUAUCUUCCUUCGGGAUGACCUUAUAGGGGAGGUGUAAUGCGGCCAGCCCGGAUUGAGGCCCGCGCAUCUGCUAGGAUGCUGGCGUAAUGGCUGUAAGCGGCCCGUCUUGAAACACGGACCAAGGAGUCUAACAUCUAUGCGAGUGUUUGGGUGUCAAGCCCGGGCGCGCAAUGAAAGUGAACGGAGGUGGGAACCCCUCGGGGCGCACCAUCGACCGAUCCUGAUGUCUUCGGAUGGAUUUGAGUAAGAGCAUAGCUGUUGGGACCCGAAAGAUGGUGAACUAUGCCUGAAUAGGGUGAAGCCAGAGGAAACUCUGGUGGAGGCUCGCAGCGGUUCUGACGUGCAAAUCGAUCGUCAAAUUUGGGCAUAGGGGCGAAAGACUAAUCGAACUAUCUAGU
rnacentral:rRNA from 1 species